AUCAUACUCCCUCCAUCCGGAAUUAUUUGUCGCAUAAACGGAUGAAAAUGGAUGUAUCUAGAAUUAAAAUACAUCUAGAUACAUUUAUUUUUCCGACAAGUAUUUCCGGACGGAGGGAGUAGAAA
rfam:Triticum aestivum genome assembly, contig: Triticum_aestivum_CS42_TGACv1_scaffold_514417_6BS